GUGGGGAAUCUUCCGCAAUGGACGAAAGUCUGACGGAGCAACGCCGCGUGAGUGAUGAAGGUCUUCGGAUUGUAAAGCUCUGUUAAUCGGGACGAAAGAGCCUAGUGUGAAUAAUGCUAGGAAGUGACGGUACCGGAAUAGAAAGCCACGGCUAACUACGUGCCAGCAGCCGCGGUAAUACGUAGGUGGCAAGCGUUGUCUGGAAUUAUUGGGCGUAAAGCGCGCGCAGGCGGAUCUGCCAGUCUGUCUUAAAAGUUCGGGGCUUAACCCCGUGAUGGGAUGGAAACUACAGAUCUAGAGUAUCGGAGAGGAAAGUGGAAUUCCUAGUGUAGCGGUGAAAUGCGUAGAUAUUAGGAAGAACACCAGUGGCGAAGGCGACUUUCUGGACGAAAACUGACGCUGAGGCGCGAAAGCCAGGGGAGCGAACGGGAUUAGAAACCCGAGUAGUCC
rnacentral:rRNA from 1 species